rnacentral:rRNA from 1 species
UACGAGUGCCCCGAGCGUUAUCCGGAAUCACUGGGUGUAAAGGGUGCGUAGGUGGCGGUAUUAGUCUUUCGUGAAAGCCCCGAGCUCAACUUGGGAAACGCGAAGGAAACGGUACUGCUAGAGAGUGUGAGGGGUCUAGGGAACUCAUGGUGUAGGGGUGAAAUCCGUUGAUAUCAUGGGGAACACCAAAAGCGAAGGCACUAGACUGGCACAUUUCUGACACUCAAGCACGAAAGCGUGGGUAGCGAAUGGG